GCAGAGAUAAAAACACGGUCUGGUUGGUAGUCCAGGCGUACCCUUUAGGGUAUCAGUAACCCUCCUCCUGGUCGUCCGUUCUUUU
rnacentral:ncRNA from 1 species